UACGUAGGGUGCAAGCGUUGUCCGGAUUUAUUGGGCGUAAAGAGCUCGUAGGCGGUUUGUCGCGUCGGAUGUGAAAACCCAGGGCUCAACCCUGGGCCUGCAUUCGAUACGGGCAGACUAGAGUAUGGCAGGGGAGACUGGAAUUCCUGGUGUAGCGGUGAAAUGCGCAGAUAUCAGGAGGAACACCGGUGGCGAAGGCGGGUCUCUGGGCCAAAACUGACGCUGAGGAGCGAAAGCGUGGGGAGCAAACAGG
rnacentral:rRNA from 1 species